CCUUGAAUUCUCAGGCAGUGAAUGCACUACCGUGUGCAGAAGGCAAGGACAUGGCUGAGCAUGUUGUUUUCUUCACCUUAUAUGGAGCUUCCUUAACAGGCUCCUGGUGCUGGUUCCAGCAGAAUAGACACAGAGAUGCAUGGCCUAACUCCCACUCCCUCUUCAGGACUGAGCCACGCAGCCCCCCAUCUGCCAGAAGUGUUAGCUGUUGACGGCUCACAGCUGAGUCCCUCCCAAGGCAUUGCUGAAAAGAGCCACCUUGCUCUAGGAUGUGCCCCCACCCUGGGGGCAGCAUACAUUCCAAGUGAUUAGUCCAUAGUGUGGUACAAAGGUUGUACCCGUCUUGCCUGAAUUCAGGAUCUCUUGGAAAACCACCCCAGUUCUGCAGCUCCUGGUGGGGUGCUGAGGCCUCUGCUGCAGCUGCAUCGCAGUUUACUUUCCCCUCUGCCUAGUCCUGCUGCCUUCACUCCCCAACAGGUAUUGUUCCCCAGAGAACUCCCUGCCCCCAGUCACCUGUAAGCAAAUCUCCACUGCAGUCUGUGGCCUGGGAAACCUGCUCUAGGAUCCCAAAGUGAACACAGCUUCCCAUUGAAAUGUGUCUUUGGGUGUUAAUCUGUCCUGCCAUCUUUACAUCUAAUCAAGAGGUAGAGCUUCCUCUGGUGUUCCUGCUGGGUACAUAAAGGAUCUUUUCCAUUGUC